rnacentral:rRNA from 1 species
GAUGAACGCUGGCGGCGUGCCUAAUACAUGCAAGUCGAGCGAAUGGAUUAGGAGCUUGCUCUUAUGAAGUUAGCGGCGGACGGGUGAGUAACACGUGGGUAACCUGCCCAUAAGACUGGGAUAACUCCGGGAAACCGGGGCUAAUACCGGAUAACAUUUUGAACCGCAUGGUUCGAAAUUGAACGGCGGCUUCGGCUGUCACUUAUGGAUGGACCCGCGUCGAAUUAGCUAGUUGGUGAGGUAACGGCUCACCAAGGGAACGAUGCGUAGCCGACCUGAGAGGGUGAUCGGCACCACGGGGACGGAGACACGGCCCAGACUCCUACGGGAGGCAGCAGUAGGGAAUCUUCCGCAAUGGACGAAAGUCUGACGGAGCAACGCCGCGUGAGUGAUGAAGGCUUUCGGGUCGUAAAACUCUGUUGUUAGGGAAGAACAAGUGCUAGUUGAAUAAGCUGGCACCUUGACGGUACCUAACCAGAAAGCCACGGCUAACUACGUGCCAGCCGCCGCGGUAA